CAGAAGAAGCACCGGCCAACUACGUGCCAGCAGCCGCGGUAAGACGUAGGGUGCGAGCGUUGUCCGGAUUUAUUGGGCGUAAAGAGCUCGUAGGCGGCUUGUCGCGUCGACCGUGAAAACUUGGGGCUCAACCCCAAGCCUGCGGUCGAUACGGGCAGGCUAGAGUUCGGUAGGGGAGACUGGAAUUCCUGGUGUAGCGGUGAAAUGCGCAGAUAUCAGGAGGAACACCGGUGGCGAAGGCGGGUCUCUGGGCCGAUACUGACGCUGAGGAGCGAAAGCGUGGGGAGCGAACAGGAUUAGAUACCCUGGUAGUCCACGCUGUAAACGUUGGGCGCUAGGUGUGGGGGACCUCUCCGGUUUCCUGUGCCGCAGCUAACGCAUUAAGCGCCCCGCCUGGGGAGUACGGCCGCAAGGCUAAAACUCAAAGGAAUUGACGGGG
rnacentral:rRNA from 1 species